UACGAAGGGUGCAAGCGUUACUCGGAAUUACUGGGCGUAAAGCGUGCGUAGGUGGUUCGUUAAGUCUGAUGUGAAAGCCCUGGGCUCAACCUGGGAAUGGCAUUGGAAACUGGCGACCUAGAGUGCGGUAGAGGGUAGUGGAAUUCCCGGUGUAGCAGUGAAAUGCGUAGAGAUCGGGAGGAACAUCUGUGGCGAAGGCGACUGCCUGGACCAGCACUGACACUGAGGCACGAAAGCGUGGGGAGCAGACAGG
rnacentral:rRNA from 1 species